rnacentral:rRNA from 1 species
CCUACGGGAGGCAGCAGUAGGGAAUAUUGGACAAUGGGCGCAAGCCUGAUCCAGCCAUCCCGCGUGCAGGAUGAAGGUCCUAUGGAUUGUAAACUGCUUUUAUCAGGGAAGAAACCUUGGGAUUCAUCCCAAGUUGACGGUACCUGAGGAAUAAGCACCGGCUAACUCCGUGCCAGCAGCCGCGGUAAUACGGAGGGUGCAAGCGUUAUCCGGAUUUACUGGGUUUAAAGGGUGCGUAGGUGGUCUUGUAAGUCAGCGGUGAAAGCUCGGAGCUCAACUCCGAAAUUGCCAUUGAUACUGCAAGGCUUGAGUACAGUUGAGGUAGGCGGAAUAUGUCAUGUAGCGGUGAAAUGCUUAGAUAUGACAUAGAACACCAAUUGCGAAGGCAGCUUGCUAAACUGAAACUGACACUGAGGCACGAAAGCGUGGGGAUCAAACAGGAUUAGAUACCCUGGUAGUCCACGCCCUAAACGAUGCUAACUCGAUUUUGGCGAUAUACCAGUCAGAGUACGAACGGAAACCGGAACGUAAAGUUAAGUACCGACCGUAACGGGGUAGGUACGGUUACCGUUACGUAACGGAAGUUAGUAACGUUACGAAAGGAAGUAGACGGCGNGAGACGNGCGACGGACGACGACGAGGGAGGAGG